GCCUGGGUGGCUCAGUCGGUUAAGUGUCCGACUUCGGCUCAGGUCAUGAUCUCACAGUCUGUGGGUUCGAGCCCCACAUCAGGCU
rnacentral:tRNA from 1 species